CACAAUCAGUUGCCAGUUGCCCCACUCACUCAGUCUUCAACUCUAACAUACCAGACAAGCCACCCUCAAAGUUUCCCUGGGCAGCAGCUGCCUUCAUCAGUGGAAUACAAUCAGUCUCCUUCUUCUGUGGCCAGUGAGACUGGUGAAGGAUACAGUAAUUCCAGAGGUCACACUCAAAGCUCCUCUGGUCAUGACAUACCACCUUCAUCAGUGGGAUGCAGUCAGGUACCUUUUACAGCAGCCACUAGUUAUCAGCCAAGUAAGUACAAAAUCUAAUUUUCCUACUGCUAUUACUAAUUUUAUUGGCCAAAACUCUAUCCUGGUUUAAUUUAUGUACAUCCAGGUCCAAGAGGGCCGUUCACAUCGUAGAAGCUCUUAGAUGUAAAUUUAUUCAGAAUUAAUAUUUUGUAUGCUGUUUUAAAUAUAUUUGC